CGGCGNCNNANAGGAGCCAUGGCAUGUCUAGUACAUGCCGUAUUAAGGCGAAACCGCGAAUGGCUCAUUAAAUCAGUUAUGGUUCCUUGGAUCGUACCUUACUACUUGGAUAACUGUGGCAAUUCUAGAGCUAAUACAUGCAGCAGAGCUCCGACCUUCGGGGACGAGCGCUUUUAUUAGACCAAAACCAAUCGGGCCUCGUGUCCGUUCUAUGUGGUGACUCUGUAUAACUUUGGGCUGAUCGCACGGGCUUGUCCCGGCGACGUAUCUUUCAAGUGUCUGCCUUAUCAACUGUCGAUGGUAGGUUACGCGCCUACCAUGGUCGUAACGGGUAACGGGGAAUCAGGGUUCGAUUCCGGAGAGGGAGCCUGAGAAACGGCUACCACAUCCAAGGAAGGCAGCAGGCGCGCAAAUUACCCACUCCCGGCUCGGGGAGGUAGUGACGAAAAAUAACAAUACGGGACUCUUUUGAGACCCCGUAAUUGGAAUGAGUACACUCUAAAUCCUUUAACGAGGAUCCAUUGGAGGGAAAGUCUGGUGCCAGCCGCCGCGGUAACUCCAGCUCCAAUAGCGUAUAUUAAAGUUGUUGCGGUUAAAAAGCUCGUAGUUGGAUCUCAGUUCCAGACGGGUGGUCCGCCUUUCGGUGGUUACUGCCUGUUCUGAGCAUUGCCGCCGAAAUUGUUUGAUGAUCUUCACCGGUUGUUAUCCGGUUUCGGCAAUUUUACUUUGAAAAAAUUAGAGUGCUCAAAGCAUGCGUGACGCAUGAAUAAUGGUGCAUGGAAUAAUGGAAUAGGACCUCGGUUCUAUUUUGUUGGUUUUCGGAACACGAGGUAAUGAUUAAGAGGGACAGACGGGGGCAUUCGUAUUGCGACGCUAGAGGUGAAAUUCUUGGACCGUCGCAAGACGAACUACUGCNAGANUUUUUUUUU
rnacentral:rRNA from 1 species